rnacentral:lncRNA from 1 species
CCCCGGACCCUUCACAGCAAUGUAAAAAGCAGCCUCAGUUAACACUGCUGUCUUUUGCUGGAUAAGAGUUGGAAGCUGUCCAGCACAUAUGGCUGGGAUGUGGAGCCCUCAGACAGAGGCCCAGGUGGGAAGGGCCUCAGCAGAAGGAAGGCAGGUAACAGGGCAUAAUAAGCUGGAGCCCAGCAGAAGGGAGAACCAACCCCAGGGUUCCUACCCUGAAGGAAGGAGGGCAGCAGAAGUUCGCAACCUGCCAGGACUUUGAAAGAUACAGACA